rnacentral:rRNA from 1 species
UACGUAGGUGGCAAGCGUUGUUCGGAAUCACUGGGCGUAAAGCGCACGUAGGCGGAUUGUUAAGUCAGGGGUGAAAUCCUGGAGCUCAACUCCAGAACUGCCUUUGAUACUGGCGAUCUUGAGUCCGGGAGAGGUGAGUGGAACUGCGAGUGUAGAGGUGAAAUUCGUAGAUAUUCGCAAGAACACCAGUGGCGAAGGCGGCUCACUGGCCCGGUACUGACGCUGAGGUGCGAAAGCGUGGGGAGCAAACAGG